UACAUGGGGUGCAAACGUUGCUCGGAAUCAUUGGGCGUAAAGCGCGCGUAGGCGGUUACACAAGUUGGAUGUGAAAGCCCUCGGCUUAACUGAGGGAGUGCAUCCAAAACUGUGCAGCUAGAGUACUAAAGAGGGUCGCGGAAUUCCCGGUGUAGAGGUGAAAUUCGUAGAUAUCGGGAGGAACACCAGUGGCGAAGGCGACUACCUGGCCUGUUCUUGACGCUGAGGCGCGAAAGCUAGGGGAGCAAACGGG
rnacentral:rRNA from 1 species